rnacentral:miRNA from 1 species
UCAAUUGAGAUGACAUCUAGU